rnacentral:lncRNA from 1 species
AUGGCAAAAAGAAGUACUUCAGUUGUUCUAGCUGUCCUUGUUGUAGCAUUAUUUCUGAAUGGUUAUAAUGCUGCUGUGAGUGUAGAAAGAGAUAAUCAACCUGAGAAAGGAGUAGACGGAAUGAUACAUUGCUUUCCUGCAAUAUGUGCUAAUAAUGCUAACUGUUCUGAAUUUUGUAUGGCAAAAGGCUACGCUAAAGGUGGUUGUUUAGGAGGCACAAUGUGUUGUUGCCCUGAUUAUGUUUAA